AUAAUUUUUUAUUUGAUAUUUGUAUUAUCCAUCUUGCUGUAGAUUUCUUAUUGUUUAUUGGUAAUUUAUAGAAAUUUUUUUUUUACUUGACUGUUCAUCAAACAAUGCUUGGCAACGUUUACGCUCGUUCUGGACUUGGAUUGUAGCGUCUGUGUUCGGCCUCGUGUGAGAAAGCUGGAAAAGAGUAUCUCUGUUUCUUGCUUCAGUUAAUGGAUAUUUUUACUCAACAAGACAGUGCUCCAUCCCAUUCGGACUUAUCUUGCAUUACGGAAUUGUUUCAGUUGCCAAUGAAGGAUUUGGAUGAUGCGAAGAACUUUGAAAAGUUACUCCGAGUUCAAAACAACAAAUUAACAAACAAAAAUGAGGGCAUUCGUCAUUGGAAUAGGGGGAACUACGAAUACCAUCGUUGGAAGGGUCAUGAAAUCAAUCAUGACCUACGAGUGUGGGAGUUGUUUCUGCUAUGUAGGCCUCAGUGAGGAUAAAGUUGCUUUUAAAACUUUUACUAUUUGUGAUAUUGUAAUUGACGGAGUUUGUGAAAUGCACAAAUCCAUGACAAGAGAUGCAGUGGAGUCAAAGAUAAAGAAUUGGUUACGUCACUACCCAAGGUAUGCCUUCAAGAACAAUGAAGAUGGAAAAAUUAAUGGGGAAGACGAGCUCCAACAAGAUGAUAGCGAUUACAAUUGCUGACUAAUUUAUCAUUUUCUACGUAAAGUGCGAUUGUUAAUGCACUGAUUAAAUUUCC